rnacentral:rRNA from 1 species
AGAGUUUGAUCCUGGCUCAGGAUAAACGCUGGCGGCGCGCCUAACACAUGCAAGUCGCACGUCCUCUUUUCUUUCGGGGAGAGAGGGAGUGGCGGACGGGUGAGUAACACAUGGGUACCUACCUUCCAGUGAGGGAUACCGGCGCGAAAGCGCCGACAAGCCCGCAUAGGGUCUCUGUCUUCGGGAGAGAGAGCAAAGCCGAGAGGCGCUGGGAGAUGGGCCUGUGGCCGAUUAGCUGGCUGGUGGGGUAAGAGCCUACCAGGGCGAUGAUCGGUAGCUGGUCUGAGAGGACGAGCAGCCACACUGGGAUUGAGAACGGCCCAGACUCCUACGGGAGGCAGCAGUGGGGAAUCUUGCACAAUGGAGGCAACUCUGAUGCAGCGACGCCGCGUGAGCGAUGAAGCCCUUCGGGGUGUAAAGCUCUUUCGGCAGGGACGAUAAUGACGGUACCUGAAGAAGAAGCUGCGGCUAACUACGUGCCAGCAGCCGCGGUAAUACGUAGGCAGCGAGCGUUGUUCGGAAUUACUGGGCGUAAAGAGUGUGUAGGCGGUGCUCUAAGUUCGGUGUGAAAUCUCCCGGCUUAACUGGGAGGGUGCGCCGGAAACUGGAGUGCUCGAGCGUGGGAGAGGAAAGCGGAAUUCCUGGUGUAGCGGUGAAAUGCGUAGAUAUCAGGAGGAACACCUGCGGUGUAGACGGCUUUCUGGACCAUUGCUGACGCUGAGACACGAAAGCGUGGGUAGCAAACAGGAUUAGAUACCCUGGUAGUCCACGCCCUAAACGAUGCAUACUUGGUGUCGGCCAUUCAGUUGGUCGGUGCCGGAGCUAACGCGUUAAGUAUGCCGCCUGGGGAGUACGGUCGCAAGGCUGAAACUUAAAGGAAUUGACGG